GCCAUUUAAAGGUCCAAUUCUGCCACUUUACUCAUGAUGUGUGUUGUCUUAUUACACAGCUAGUCCAAUCGAGUCUACUGGAGUUGCUUGGGAGGAAGGCCCUCAUUCAAGAAAGCAUCCCUACAGAGGAGAGCACUUAACUAUGUGAUGGAGGGCUUGUCUGCACUUACCAUGGAUCAAUGCUGAGGCGAUCGAUCUAGCCGCUAAAUCAACCGCCGAUCACUCUCCUAUUGACUCCGGUACUUCAUCAGAACGAGAAGCAUGAGCUGUGGCUGAACCAGUGUGCAUCUUUUAGAAAGACAGCCAAUCUUCAUUUAAAGCUUUCCACAGAUGGAGAAUCCACCACAACCCUUGGUAAACUAGUUUGAAUGACGGAUGAAGAAGAUGUGCAGUGUUACUAAGAGGAGUUGAAGUCCCCUGCUUAGGGGGUCCAUCACUACAACAGAUACACUCUACACUUCAUCACCACUCACAAACUCAAAUUGCAGGGCCCAAUCUACUUUCAGGGAGAAAGUUGCAACUGUUGCCAUAGGAAUGUUGUGCAGUCAGGAAGGAAAUGUGUUCCACAUGGUCAGGAAAGGGACAGUUGGUGCACCAUGUGAUUGCACGAGGGAGGGGCGUUUGCCUCUAUGGUCACCAAUGAGA